AGCCCUGGGGUGUUACACGCGGGAUUGCAAAUCCCGAGAAGCAGGCUAACGCCUGCCGGGGCUU
rnacentral:tRNA from 1 species